UGUUUCCAUUAAUCAAGAACGAAAGUUAGAGGCUCAAAGGCGAUCAGAUACCGCCCUAGUUCUAACCAUAAACGAUGCCAGUCGGAGAUGCGGCUGCGUUCCUCAAAUGACGCGCCGCGCAUCCUCGGGGAAACCAAAACGUUUGGGCUCCGGGGGAAG
rnacentral:rRNA from 1 species